UGCGUUAGACGACCAACUCUAAUAUUCUUCCCUCAGCGCCGUUUACCACCGUACCGUUCAACCCCCACCAUGGACCUUUAAUAUAUCACAAAUUCGAUUUAAACAUAUAAGGGCAAAAAACAGAAGCUUCAAAUUAGUCACACACUAAGGAUUCAUUCGCAAACUUUGAACAUUAAAUGAAAACAGUUCGUUUUUUUUUUCUUUUUUAAUAGUAACCUAUACUGAGACUGAACUGAACAUAAAUACAACAGUUAUGGAACUAGAAGUAUGGCGAGAACUAUAAUAGUAUUGACCUGCAUUCGCAUCUUUAAGAACUCUAUUGUGAAAGAACCAUAAACAGUAGAGGUUUUAAUGCUGUGCGAGAAUAAAUAAUAUAAAUGAGCGUGGAGGAGCCUUUAUUACGAGGGCUAACUGUCUUUACUACCGACUGGGCUUCGCCGAGGAAUGAGGAAUUAUUCAAGGCACACUUAUCAUUGCUGUUCACAAAUUUUAUUUGGAAGAACUGUUCAUUUUAAGUCGGGAGAAGCCAGCUGUGGGCUAACCCCGUUUGAGAGCAGUCUAGACAACUGCAUUAAUCAUUUAUUAUGAGCGGGAAAUGUACGCAGUUGAGUUAAUUAAUUAACAAGAAGGAGUGGAUCAGAUUAAUUUCGCAAUAUUUGAUCCAAAUAUGUCAGUCAAGAGUGGUCUGCUAUGAAGAGUAAAGUGCUAUAACGUACAUCGCGGGCGGUUUAUUCCGGUUUAUUGAAAGUUAAUCUUGAAAAGUCCGGGCAUAAGAUCGUGAAUUUGUUUAUCGUGUUCCGGCUCUAAAAAAGAGCGACUUCCGUACGUCUUGGAAAGAUGCUCACAUAAGAUGAUUACAUACCAUGUAUUGACCAGAGAUUAGCGCUGUGUACAUCCGAGAGAUAUAGUCUUGUGUAAAUGGGUAUGAGUUACCUCAUGGUUCAUUGAUUACAGCAAGAACGUGCGGUGCGCUCGUGAGAUACGGCACGGUUGUUAAAUGGGAAACAAGUAGACAGUGUUUGGCGUAGGCGAAGUGAUACAACCAGGUAUUAAAGAAAGGAAAGUCGAGAUCGAGCUCGAGCUCGUUAUCAAAUGUAUUGAAUUAUCGAAAGUUAACUUUCGAAAGAACUAUUGAAACUUUCUUUGGUUUCCAGCUGUUUGACGUAUCUGAUCUGCUCCCUAGCACCCCUUUUCAACGUUGUCACCCCCCCCCCCCUGAGAAACAGAAUCUCUUCUGCUUGUACAGAUCAGCCGAAUCACCAAUCUCGCAUGCAGUUACAGUUUAUAAUUUAUGAAAUGACUUUAAAAUUGCAUUUAAAAAAAUGAAUGACGAAUUUCAUUUCACAUUUGAUUUGGAAAUUUUCGCUUUCCCAAGGUGAAAUAUUGCGUCAGUCACCACAAAUUAUAAUAUAAACUGUCGCUCCAAAAUAAGCAAAUGACCAGCGAAUACUAAUGUUCAUUGUCAGUCAUAAAAGUCUUACGUGGCUAAUUGUCAAUCUGUACAGUUCUCAACAUUACUGAAAUACCCCCGAUACCGUAUAAAAUAUAUAAACAUAGUGGAAUUUUUUACUUUCGAACUAAUGAGUAAUUUUGGAAUUCUGGACGUCCUUUAUACUCGAAUGGGUGAUGAACUAUUUUUACUGAUCAGUCACGAGUGUCGCGAAAUGAAAAGUAUUACAUUUACACACAGAUGUCAACGCAAGCAGACGAAAAAUCCUUCCUAGCGUGAUAAAUUUCCUCAAACGAAAUUGAAUAGAACACAGUCCUUAGCAAUUUCAAUACAUGCAUUGACAUUGUUUGAAGGGUGAAUACAGUAUAUUACGCAAGGUACUUGAACUGAAAGAAAGAAACGUCAGCGAUUUGAACAGACGUCAGGUAAAGUUACUCCCAAAUGCAAAUCAGUUUGCGAAUAAUUAGGACUUCCACUUCUAGGACCUUCUAGACAAAAACAUGUUCCUCUCGCAAUAAAGUAACAUUAGAACUCAGAAAAUCAAAUUUGAGCUAUGUAAUAUAAAGUAGCAGACUAUCCGAAAUACGCUAUAAAUCAUUUGCAGUAACUUCAACUAAGGCGUAUAUGGAAUAAGAAACAAAGGAACAAUAUUUAUAAGAUUGUGCAAACAAACACUUCCGAAAGACACCGGCGGAAUACUAAUUAUUCGAGAGACACUUUAUCCUUUGUUAAGACUUACUCAAACAUCACGUUGUACAUGUAUUUUACGACACAGGAAAAGAGCAAUAAGAAAAUAACAACGAACUGAAAAGUAAGGAGAAAAAUUUCACACAGAGGAGCACAAAAUCAGGUCGUGGCAUAUCGCACGUUUUCUCGCCCAGCAUGGCUCUCACGUGCUCAACAGGACUUUUGAUCGAUAUGGUUUUGACUCAGCUGGUUUACAAAGACGAAUUCAACAAACUGGUCGUCCUGAGAUGUCUUUUUACGGUGACAACAUCACGUUUAGAACUAGAACACCUGGUGAAGACCUUGACUAAGGGUUUUGUCUUUUGGUUGCUCUUUUUCCAAAAAAAUGAAAACCAAAUACAAUGUUGAAAAAAAAAAAAAAA